rnacentral:lncRNA from 1 species
GCCGAGGUCCUCUUCUAGGAUUGGUUGUCCACUCAUAACCAUAAGAUAAUUAAAACGGGGGGGGGCAGGGUAAAAAAAAAACCCUUUUAUCAGCCAUAGGUUAAUGCAAGUGUUUAACAGAUGCUUCGCUAUUAAAAUAUUUCCCCCCAAUACUGAAGAAUCUUAAACCAGAAGGCACAGUUCAUUCUCGAGCAAUUCGUCACCUCCUGGGGGUCUUCUCUUCCCGUCUACAGGAGAGUGUGACUUCAGAAAGAACUUCGGAUUGGCCAAGGCCAUUAAAGCUGGUGAGCGACUUGGAAGUCAUUUAGAAAGGAACAGACCUUCAACCUCAAGCCUUUGCGGGCACUGGGAAAGUGUCUUCCCAAUCAAUCUGGCUUGCAGGCGGCAGGACCAACUCUGACCUGGCUUAUCUUGUACCCAUCCUAAAUACACCAAACUCAAGAGGUAGCCAGGGCCGCCUCAACACCGAGGCAGGUCUGAUUCUAUUUAUUCUAAAGACAGAGUUGGAGAUGGGCUACCAUUGGUGUUGAUUGAGAUGACAAGCAGUCACCUGAGCCCAUACAGCUGGGUUCACAGAUGUGGCUAGUCUUGCUAGCCAGCUCGCACUGUGGACAUUCUAGGGAACUGACUGCAGUCCUCAUGCUUGGAGUCAAACACUUUAACCACUGCACACGUUUAUGUAAUAGGAUUGACAUAUGAGAAUCAGAGAAAUGAAUGAAAGAUUAGAGUGGGAGAAAGUGCUUGCUGCCAAGCUUGAUGACCUAAAUUGAAUACCUGGAACCUACACGACAGAAAGAGAGAGCUGACUGCUGAAAGAUGUCCUCAGAUCUUCACAUGUGCACAGUGGCACCUAUCCAACCAUGCACAUAGUAUAUUAAAAAUUAUUUUUUAAAAAAUCCA